CCUACGGGAGGCAGCAGUGAGGAAUAUUGGUCAAUGGACGGAAGUCUGAACCAGCCAAGCCGCGUGCAGGAAGACGGCCCUAUGAGUUGUAAACUGCUUUUGUCCAAGGGUAAACCUGAAUACGUGUAUUCAGCUGAAAGUACUGUACGAAUAAGGAUCGGCUAACUCCGUGCCAGCCGCCGCGGUAAUACGGAGGAUCCAAGCGUUAUCCGGAUUUAUUGGGUUUAAAGGGUGCGUAGGCGGAUUGAUAAGUUAGAGGUGAAAUGUUCGAGCUUAACUCGGGAACUGCCUCUAAUACUGUUGAUCUAGAGAGUAGAUGCGGUAGGCGGAAUGUAUGGUGUCGCGGUGAAAUGCUUAGAGAUCAUACAGAACACCGAUUGCGAAGGCAGCUGACCAAUCUAUAUCUGACGUUGAGGCACGAAAGCGUGGGGAGCAAACAGGAUUAGAUACCCUAGUAGUC
rnacentral:rRNA from 1 species